CAAUUAAUGCGCGCGGAUAUAAAGUAAUCUAGUGAAUAGCAAAAUGUACCACAAUCGGGUUAUGUGUUCGUUGAUUACCAUUGAAAAAAUCGUUAAUUUAAUGUUGAUGUUAAAAGUGAACAAUGAAUGUUUGAAAUAAGUACAAAGAGUUCACGGAACCAAAUCGAUUACAAUGACUAUGCAACAUACCGUUGGAUGAUAGAUUUUCAUUUAUUUCCUCAGUUAUUACAAAC